UACGAAGGGGGCUAGCGUUGCUCGGAAUCACUGGGCGUAAAGGGUGCGUAGGCGGGUCUUUAAGUCAGGGGUGAAAUCCUGGAGCUCAAUUCCAGAACUGCCUUUGAUACUGAAGAUCUUGAGUCCGGGAGAGGUGAGUGGAACUGCGAGUGUAGAGGUGAAAUUCGUAGAUAUUCGCAAGAACACCAGUGGCGAAGGCGGCUCACUGGCCCGGUACUGACGCUGAGGCACGAAAGCGUGGGGAGCAAACAGG
rnacentral:rRNA from 1 species